rnacentral:snoRNA from 1 species
UACCAUGAUGAUUAAUUAAUAUCUUACCUACAUUAUUUGAACGAGAAAUCGUGUAACCAACAAACAACUGA